CAAAAUGUAGCUUACAAUAAAGCCCCUUGCUUACACCAAGGAAACGUCUGCUAAUACCAGACCAUUUUGC
rnacentral:tRNA from 9 species